CAGCAGCCGCGGGAAUACGAGGGGGGCAAGCGUUGUUCGGAAUUAUUGGGCGUAAAGGGUGCGUAGGCGGCUUGACAAGUCUUGUGUGAAAUCUAUGGGCUCAACCCAUAGUCUGCACGGGAAACUGUCGGGCUUGAGAAUGGGAGAGGUGAGUGGAAUUUCCGGUGUAGCGGUGAAAUGCGUAGAUAUCGGAAGGAACACCUGUGGCGAAAGCGGCUCACUGGACCAUUUCUGACGCUGAUGCACGAAAGCUAGGGGAGCAAACAGGAUUAGAUACCCCAGUAGUCCCUGUCUCUUAUAC
rnacentral:rRNA from 1 species